GACAGUGGUUUAUGUGGCAAUGUCACGCACGGCAUGCUAAUGGAUAAAGUGCAACAUUCGACACAGUCUGCAAUGCUGCGAGGACCCACAGCAAUUUUGGACCAGUUCUAGGAUCCUUGGGAGGCUCUGCUUAGAUGGACAAAUGUGCAUGAUCAUGAUCAUGAGGACAUGCAGCAAAGCAACAGGGCAGAUGAAGUAUUGCUCUCCAGAUCCCUUGCAAGACGCGAAUUCACCGGGAAGUGCGUGGAUGUCGACGUCCAUGAUUGUCCUUGCCAUCGUGGCGAUGAUUAACUUGUUAUGCAUUUAGUAGUCGC